GGAAGUAGCAAAUAUUCAAGUGGGAUCCUUGAAGACUGAAGUGGGGAAGGGUUCCAUGGUAACAGCAGUUGGACAUGGGUUAGUCGGUCCUAAGAGAUAGGGAACCUCCCUUAAAAGAACUCUCUUGUU
rnacentral:rRNA from 1 species